UACAUCGGAACGUGCCCGAUCGUGGGGGAUAACGAAGCGAAAGCUUUGCUAAUACCGCAUAAGAUCUACGGAUGAAAGCAGGGGACCGCAAGGCCUUGCGCGAACGGAGCGGCCGAUGGCAGAUUAGGUAGUUGGUGGGGUAAAAGCUUACCAAGCCGACGAUCUGUAGCUGGUCUGAGAGGACGACCAGCCACACUGGGACUGAGACACGGCCCAGACUCCUACGGGAGGCAGCAGUGGGGAAUUUUGGACAAUGGGCGAAAGCCUGAUCCAGCCAUGCCGCGUGCAGGAUGAAGGCCUUCGGGUUGUAAACUGCUUUUGUACGGAACGAAAAGACUCUGGUUAAUACCUGGGGUCCAUGACGGUACCGUAAGAAUAAGCACCGGCUAACUACGUG
rnacentral:rRNA from 1 species